CUGAAAGGAAAGCAGGCGGCUAUUCUAAGAUUCUUAUCUGGAACAUCAGCGGGAACUCCAGACUUGGACCAAAGGCAGUUCACGACCUUUGUAGAAUUGCUUCAGACUCUUAAAAAAGGACAGUCCAGAUUUGCUUUUUCAUCCUGUAUGCCUUUUUCCUCUCUUGCUGCAGAGCUGGGUCAACAGGAAGCUCUAAAGCAGGGGAUGAGGCCAUGGACGUCCCUGAAAAUGUGCCUCCUCUCUCUGCAGAGAUCAGGAUCAUCCUGGUCUCAGCUCAGCACCUGGAGUGAAGAGUACUCCCAGCAGAGCCAGAGCGGUGAGCCCACCCCGUUGCCCACUUCUGCGUGUCCACCCAGACUUAAGGUUCCCCGCUUGAGGAGUGAAACCGCAGUGAACUCUCUCUGUUCUGGUUUGUGGAGGGGAAGAACAAUUUGAGCUGAUCUUAUGAUACGCAGACUCCACAUUUAGUCAUCCACUGUUUCACUGAUGGAUAUGCAGAUCGCCUUCAACAAUCCGAUCCACGAAUACACUGCCGUGAAUUCAUUUAUUUAACAAAUAUUUAUAUGAGCAACUGCUAUGUUCUAGGUGUGGUUCUAGGUGCUUAGGAUGUAUCCGAAAACAAAACAGGUAAGAAUUCCUCUACUUUUGGAGAUUAUAAUCCAACAGAGGGAGAAGAUAAACUAAAAGACAAUAAAUUAGUAAAUUACAUAGUCUAUUAGUGAUAAAUAUAAUGUGGAAAAAGAACAAAUAGAUCAGAGUAAGCAGAAUUGGCUUUGUGGGGAGGGGGUGGGCAGCAGUUUGAAUAGUUAGGAUAGUUAUUUGAGCAUAGGCUGGAAGGAGAUGAGGUGAUAACCACGCAGAUACCUGAGGGAAAAGAGAUGGGGGAGAGGGAACAGCCAUUGCAAAGCCUUAGGAUAGAACAUGCCUGACAUGUUCAGGGUACAGCCAGCAGCCAAAGCGACUGGAGCAGAGCAAGCCAGGGAGAGGGAUGAUCAUGUAAGGCCUCGGAGGGCGUUUAGAGGACCUUGGUUCUUAUUUUACGUGGGGAAACUUUGGAGAGAAUUAAGCAAAGGGUGUCAUGAUCUGAUUUGUGUUUUAAAAGGAUCACUGGCUGACACGUUGGGAAAAGACUGCGUGAAAGGCAAGAUUAAAAGCAGGGAUUCUGGUUAGAAAGCUUUUGUGAUAAAAGAGCAACAGACGAUGAUAGAUGAGGCCAGAACGGAAGUGGUAAAGAUGGUGAGAGAUGGUCAGAUUUGGGACAAAUUUUAAAUUUAAAACUGAUAAAAUUUCUCAAAGUUCUGCUUCUACUUAGGAUGCAAAAAAACCACAAGAAUACAUUGCUCCCAUACUAACAAUGAGAAAAAUCUGGAUAAUCUAUAAAAUCGUCAUUUUUCUUAAGUCCAUCAGAGAACUGACGUCUCAAGGCAACCAAAGAAAUGGAAUUCAAGAAAGUAACAACAUUCUCCUAGCCACAGAAAUGCGAAAUGAGAUACACAGACUGUUUGACUUUUGGCAAGACACAGGAAGAAGAGAUGGCUGCCAUAGAAGGAACAAGAAACAAGCUGACAUUUUAGCAAAUUCCUAAAGACUUAGCGUGGGCUGGUGUACCAGUGUGGUGUAACUCCCCUUGUAGACGCCCGGGGAGUUCUCACGCUCCAGCUCUUCUCCACCGGCCUUUAACAGGUGUUCACAAAGACUGAGGGCAGGGCAGGAGACCAGAGAGAGCGUCCCUCAGUAGCCCAGGUGUGUAGGAAAUGAUUUGAUGACACUGGAGAACAGGAAAAAAAAUGAUUGCGUGCUUCCCCCAACCUUUCUGUGAUACAAAGCAAAAGUGUUACGCCACUGGGGCAAAUGCAGCAAAAACAUGUCGCCUCCAGAGCUAAUCGGGGAGGGGUAGAUGGAAAACCCAUCUGCCUUGGGUGAGGGUAUAAAAGCUUCCUUCCUGGCCCCUAGGAACCAGGUAAAGACCCACUGCUUCUGGGGAAGGAUAGAAACAGAAGCCGUGCGCCUUAGAGGAGGGGCAAGAAAAUCUCUUGGCCCAGGAUCUUGCACCAGCACAAAGCAGAGGUGUGCUACUGAUGGGAAGGGACGGGAAAAUGGCUCCUGCCAGCAGUUCACACCAAUGGGAGACAGAGUUUACUGCCCUGCGGGGCAGGAGGAGGAAGGGGAAGAGGAGGAGAAAGGAGGAGCAGGAAUGCUGAGAGAUCCUGCCUGCAAGGCCAAGUGCACAGUCCUUGCCUAAGACCGAGGCUGGACCAGGAGAAUUGAGAAUCUGCUCCUGCUCCCCAGGAGCCUAGCACCAAGUAGCAAGCACCGGUGGUCUACCAUGGAAGAGGGGAAAUAACAGCAAAAAGACCCCCUCUGUGGUGCCAGCUUGCCGGGACUGCUGAAAUCUGACGGUGGAGCAGAAAUACGGAAAAACUACUCCAGGACCCAAGGCCUCCGACUAAGCUACAGGCGAAGAGAGCGCACCACCAGAGCAAUUUGAAGCCUGUGGUGCGCUGCAGCUCAUGACAGCAACAAUAAAACCCAAACUUAGCUUGGCUACCGAGGAGAUCGAAUCAGUUCCCCCACACGAAUGGCCUGACAGAAGAGGCACACCCAUUUCCAGAAGUCAACAUCGUUUACCUCAUCUCUACUGUUCUUCAAACACGAUGACUGGCGGUCAACGAAAAACGAGUGUUGGUUCCACUCAGUGCCACCUGGGAGGGACAUGGUGCAUCCUUGCAACUGAAGGCUUCUUUACGGCAUCCACAGGAGACCUGGACGCCUAUUAUACCAGAAGACCCCUUUCCCUUUGCGGAUGAGGAGGUAAAAUAUGGGAAGGGAUGAUGCAACUAGCCAUGCGAGGGUCGUUAGAGGAGAAUGUAGGGUCAAGGAAGAGAACCAUGACGGAACAUUAGAGCACUUUGUCUGCUGGCGGGAGUGACAACACUUUGUCCUAUUUUUAAGUAUCUCCGACAAGAACAGACCUUUGGAGGGGAGGGAGGACAUUUAGAGCCAGUUGACUUCCUCCAUUAUUUUACUCUGAGCAACAACUGGCUCUUGACUCCUGCUUCGCGUCUCUUGAAAAUGGAAUGCCUCCUUCUGUUAGCAUUUUUAAUCUGGUUCCUACAAAAUUGUGCAAUUUCCUGCUGUUUCUCCUUGGCAACCUAGCCAAGUUCUGCUUUGAGGGAGGCUCCCCUGUUGCCUUAACGGCUCCCCCAAGCCUUCCAAUAGCCUUUGACUCUUCCUCGCCUUUGUGGGAACACUUUGUUCUGGCGCACAAGGAACAGCUUUUCAAAAGUGCAUCGUGUUACCUUGGCCCCAUUUCAAUCAACAAGUAUUUAUGGAGUGCCGUCACUGCUCCAAGGCCAUCAUAGAUCCCUUAGAAUAUAGACAUGAAAGACUCUGAGUCUGGGACGCACCUUAGAGAUAACCACUCAUUUUCCAAAUGAGGAAACUGAGGUCCAGAGAAAAAACAACUUGCCCAGGGUCACGAGGCUGUUUGGAAGAAUAACCUGCUGAGUUUCUCAUUUCCUGUUCUCAUGAGGAUUUACGCGUUGAUUGGCAAGAUGAAAGAAAGCGUCCGGGAGAAUACAGCUCCUUCUCUGAGCCACGCAUCGUGUUUCCACUUCCCAGCGCAGAAUGCUGCAAGUGUGUGGGCAGAGGCACUUAGUGAACAGGGGUUUGGUGGUCAAGAUGAGCUUGACGGUGAGUGCUGGCCUUCCCCGCUGACCUCUCUGUGCAGCACUAUGACCUGUGCUCCUUUCUGCACAGCAAGAGGAGCUCUUUCAAGAUGAGGCAGGAUAAGGCUCUGAACCUCCAGAGGGGAGCCGGGCCCUCUGGGGAGGGAGCAGGGGCUGGCAAAGACCGUGGAGAUUAUGUGGAGACCAGGAGAGGAGAAAGACCAGAGAAGGUGCUCUGGGCCAGGCGCCCACCUGAGAUACUUCUGUUUGGCCUGAAAUGGGAUUUCAGGGCAAAAGCAACAUUUUGUACCAUAUUCUGGACCUAUAUGAUUGCUUUCUUUACGGAAAUGGGUUUUUCCUUCAUAAUCUUCCAUGUUACAGGCCUAAGAAUGGAGUUGUAUGUCUGUGUAUAUAUGUAGAGAAAAGUAUCUGAAAUAAUACUCACAAAAAAUGUUAUUAGUUGUGAUCUUUGAGUGGAAGAGUUUGAUGAUUUUUACUUUCUUUUUUUGCCACUUUAUGUAUUUUUUAAAAUAAUGACCUAGAAUUACUUUUUAGUCAGAAAAAAAUGAGACUUUGUUUUCAUUUUUC
rnacentral:lncRNA from 1 species